CAAAGACAAGGGACCCUAGGUCAAAGGCAGGGGAAGGAAACCACAUCCGUGGUGUUAGGGGAGCACUAAGACUGCUGAAAUAAAGAGUUCUCUGCCAGUGUGAGUGAAGGAACUAGGGGAGGAUGAGACUGUGUGCUCGCUGGAUACUGACUAUCUCUGCAUAAAAGAAGAGGAACACCAAGCCACAGAUCUUUAGCACAAAGAGCACUAGACCCAGAGUAAGGAGGCCCAGGUCAUUUACUUCAUUAUGGAUUGCAAUAUGGUAACAGUCUAAAUUCUAAUUACUCAUUCAUGCAUUAACCCAAGAAGAGUACCUGAAAAGGUAACUUGAGUGAUGGUUUUUAAAGGAAAGUCAAGUGUAAACACCGGGUUUAUGAUCGAGGAAAAAGAGAGAAGCCUGACCGAACUGUCCUACCUUCGAUGCUGAAUGUACCUCCAUGCCUGCCUUUCUUGGUGGCAAAGUACGAACAAGAAGUUCGGGGGAAGAAAAAUGACAAUUUCUUAACCACUUCCUAUAUCUAAGGCACUCUCCUGUGUGCUUUGCAUAUUUUGCCUUAUUAAAUCCUCAUCACUAUGUGAAGUAUCUAUUAUUAUCUCCACUUAAAGGAAGAGGAAAACGGAACACUGUGGAUCAACAGUUACUAAGUGUUGAUAAAACUCAGACUUAAGUUCAUCUAAUUCCAGCUCACUUUUUCUUCCAAACACAGCACACUUUCUCUCCGCACGAUGAGACAAAAUGAGCAUAAAACACAUGCGUAGGGAGAAUACGU